UCUUCCUCUAUGUGGGCCUAAAAUGGCUCCCAAUGAGAAGAGAACAGAAAGACAUUAGGGAUUAGAAAAACAAAUUCCCACAGAUAUGAAGACCUUGGAGCGGCUACAUUGUUUCUCCAGGAAGCUCACAGCCUGCCAGGGUCUCUGGGCAGCUGACUCCAGCUUCCCAAUCUGCAGAAAUGUCCAGACUAUGGUCAGAGGAGACCCACAGCGCCACCAGAUUCUCAUCAGCAUGCUCAGCACAGCGCAGAGGACAUGCUGCUUUCAUGGAGAAUAACUGAUUAGGCCCUGCGAGCAAGUCACUGCAUCGUGGCCAGAUGGGAAAAGCUGCCAUCUGAAGCACGGGAAGUUUUCUCAGCAAAAAGCAAACUGGACAUGUGAAAGGAGGAGAGGCUGGCUUCGCACAGAUGCAAAACCGGAGGCCCAGGGAAGUUCAGUCACUUGCUUCAGGUCACACAGUGCGCCCAACUGUUUCCAGGUUGUCCCCCAAAUCCUGACUUCAUGUGGAGAGUACCUCUCCUCUCCUAGUUCCUGCCUCCCCCGUGCCAAAGGAAGGACGCGGAAGCCAGAGCUCAGCUGCCUGCCAUUUCUGUGCUGUUCCUCCAAAUCUUCUAAUAAAUAUCUUUGUGGCCUGGGUUACUCAGAGUCAGUUUCUGUUGUUGGCAGCCAGAGAACCCAGAAUGAUGCAUGCAGGAAAGAAAGUAAGGGAACAGAUAGGCUCUGAGCCCGGGACUCCCAAUGCCUAGUUCACUGCUAUUUCCGUCCUGCCAGGCUGCCUACCUCCUGGCCCAGCUGUCCACUGUCCAGCCAUCUGUCCCCACGUCUGAGCAGACUGUA